GACGAACGCUGGCGGCGUGCCUAAUACAUGCAAGUUGAGCGAUGAAGAUUGGUGCUUGCACCAAUUUGAAGAGCAGCGAACGGGUGAGUAACGCGUGGGGAAUCUGCCUUUGAGCGGGGGACAACAUUUGGAAACGAAUGCUAAUACCGCAUAACAACUUUAAACAUAAGUUUUAAGUUUGAAAGAUGCAAUUGCAUCACUCAAAGAUGAUCCCGCGUUGUAUUAGCUAGUUGGUGAGGUAAAGGCUCACCAAGGCGAUGAUACAUAGCCGACCUGAGAGGGUGAUCGGCCACAUUGGGACUGAGACACGGCCCAAACUCCUACGGGAGGCAGCAGUAGGGAAUCUUCGGCAAUAGACGAAAGUCUGACCGAGCAACGCCGCGGGAGUGAAGAAGGGUUUCGGAUCGUAAAACUCUGUUGGUAGAGAAGAACGUUGGUGAGAGUGGAAAGCUCAUCAAGUGACGGUAACUACCCAGAAAGGGACGGCUAACUACGUG
rnacentral:rRNA from 1 species